GACGAACCGUGCGAACGUUGUUCGGAAUCACUGGGCUUAAAGGGCGCGUAGGCGGGUCGCAAAGUCCGUGGUGAAAGCCUCCGGCCCAACCGGAGAAGGGCUGCGGAUACUGGCGACCUCGAGUGGUGUAGGGGCAUGUGGAACUUCGGGUGGAGCGGUGAAAUGCGUAGAGAUCCGAAGGAACGCCGGUGGCGAAAGCGACGUGCUGGACACCUUCUGACGCUGAGGCGCGAAAGCCAGGGGAGCAAACGGG
rnacentral:rRNA from 1 species